AAGUAAGUAAGCUAAAUUAAAUAAGCUUUUAGGUUCAUACCCUAAAUAUAGGUAAUGAACCUCUUACUUA
rnacentral:tRNA from 1 species